rnacentral:lncRNA from 1 species
UCAAUUCCUCAUUGGGCCCGCACUCAUCCACAUUGACAUGGAUGCUGAAUUUUGUAAAAUAUAAAAAAAAAAUUAAAAUUUAAAAAUAAAAUAUCAUUUAUUUAUUUAUUUUUAAGUGAUUUUCUAAAAAAUAUAAUUUUAAUUCAAUUUUAUUGUACAUUAUUUAAUGAACACAAUAUUUUAAUAAAAGUAUAAAGGUGCAUUUAGCGUAAUUAUAGUGCUAAAAAUGAAAAAUAUAUUUAAUUUUUUAAAUUUAAAUAGUUAAUUAUUUAAUUAUUUUUAAAAAUAAAUUAUAUUAAUAUUAUAAAUUAUAAAAACUAAAAUACUUAAAAAGACUAAUAUUAUGUCAAGGAUAUGAAUUUUAAAGAACUAAAAGAUCAAUAAAUUCUUGUGUCACUCAAAAAGAUUGAAAAAGCACUCAAAUCUGUUAUAAUAUGAAAUAAGAGUGGCUAUUCUCAAAGACAAGAAGAAAAAAGGUCUUAAAAUAAGAUUAAAGAUUAGAAAGGUGUUGAUAAGAGUGAAAAAGGCUUCACUCUUGGCUCUACAUAUAUUAUCUAAUUAGGAGUUAUGUGGCAAUGUUCUACAAGACCUCCAACACAUAUCCAAUUUGCAACACAAUUUGCAACUUGCAAGGUAAGUUUCCUAUAUGCACGCCACAUUGUUAGCUUGUAUCACAAGCUAUCUAUAUGUGUAAUACAUGGCUUAUUUGGUCAAGUUUCCAACUUAUCAAUCAACUAUAAACAUGUAUAAAGUCAAAUAUGAAUCUAUGAAGCUUCUAAAAAGCUUUGUCAUAAAAUAUAUAUAUUAAACUCAAAACUAAGAUAUUUUAUACAUUACUAAAUUUUAAAGAUUAUUAUCUUAAAUUUGAACUAUUUUGUUAUCAUAAAACUAAAAUCCAUUUAUUUUAAAAUAUUUUUUUAUUGAAAUAAUAUAUAUAUAAUAUAUAUAUUUUAAAAUCAUCUAAAUAAUUAUACUUAUAAUUUUUAAAUCUAGUUUUAUGUAAUAUAUAUAUAUAUAUAUAUUUAUAUAUUUAAUAUUUAAUUAAAAAUUCAAAUACUACAUAAAAAUAUUAUGAGUUGCAAGAAUUCUUCUACAAAACAAAAGUAUCAUGUACACUAUAUGCUAUUGUAUACAAUAACAAAAAAGAAUUAUUUGAAGUAAGUGUGAUCACUAAAAAGUAGAAUUUAGAGGCAGCCCUUGAAAAAAAUUUAAUACUCAUGUAUUUAAAUUUAGGAUCUGAAUGAGCCUAUUGAGGAAUAGCUUUGAAUUCCCAACUUGCAUCCCUCCAACCUGCUUACUCUUGUGGUUUCUUAUGUUUUCUCUCUCCGUUCAUAGAAAUCCAAUGAGUGAUUGAGAAUUUCAUCUAAGUUGCAAUUGUAAUCCAAAGGCCCACAAUAGAAGAGCUAAUCGAUUGAAUAAGAAGAUUUUUAUAAUACAUAGUAAUAAGAAAGGAAGAAGAAGAGGCUGAGGCGGGACUGGUAUUAUAUAGGGAAAGCACUAUAGGUAGGUGAAGGUGAUAUGAUUGAAGGCAACAAACUUCUAUCAAGUGCCUCCGCUCUUUGAGCUAAUCACAUGCUAGCUAGAUUUCAUUGAUUGUUACUAAGCCAAUCCAAAUUUUGAUUGUAGUGACAUAUGCUAGUAGAAUUUAUAAUAUUUUUAUUUUAUUUUACUAGCUAAAACUCAUAUUGUUGGCAACAAAAAAACAUUACAAAUUUUGUGUUGUAAACUUGAAGCUUCAUAUGGCAUAAAACUCUGUGCCAUUACAUAUUAUGGUGCUUGCAAGCUCCACACAAAGUGAUCUUGUAGUGCUACUCUCUGCAAUAUAUAGCAAUAAUAUGCAAAAUUUUGAUAUGCAAUUGAUUAAAAGCUAAGUUAUUGCUUCACUUUUGAUCAAUAUAAUGAAAUAUACAACCAAUCAAAGAUGGUUUUUGUCUCUUUUGGUUUAUCAUCCCUGAGCUAUUUUAUAUAAUAGAUUUUUUGCUUUUAUUUUAUAGAAAAUUUAGUUCUUUCACUUGACAGUGUUACAUUCAAUCCAACAAUCAAAUGUUACUAUUUUAUAUGAGCCGUAGAGAUCUAUUUUUUAGCCAUUGCACAAUGAAUUUAAUUAAAAAUUUCAAUUUUUAACAUAAUAACCAUAUAUCAUAACAAUAAUAAGAAUAGUGAUUUAUGAGUUUAAGCAUGUAUUAUACAAAUAAUUAUAUUAUACAUACCAAAUUUAAAACUUUUUCAUGAUUUUUAUUAAUACAUUGAUUUGAAUGAAGAAUUUUUUUUAAGCUUGGAUUUUUAGUGGUUUGUAAAUUUGACAAUAAAAAAUAAAAAUGUAAAAUACUAUAUAAUAUUAUAAAAUCUAUGGGCAAAUUAUAUUUUUUAAUAUAAAAUUCUAUUUAUUCAUUUUUUUAAUUAUUCGAAAUAACAUAUUAUUUUUUAUUUUAUUUAUUAGAUAUUUGUGUAUAUAUAUAUAUAUAUAUAUAUAUAGAUAAUUAAAAUAACAUUCAUAUAUCUCAUAAGUAUAUAUUAAGCAAGGUUAUUAAAUGCUAAUAGUUCUUUAGUAAAUUAUAAUAUGUUCAUUAGUAAUUUUAAGUAGCAUUAAAAUAUAUAUAUAUAUAUAUAUAUAUAUAUAUAUAUAUAAUUAGUUUACAAAAGAAAUAAAGGAUAAAUUUAUUUUUAUUUUAUAUAAAUAUACAUAUAUAUGAGAAUUUCUGAAUACAUUAUAUUCUAUUUAUAUUUUGAUUAGUAAUUAUGUUUAUUAUAGUUUAAUAUUUUGAUAUAUAUAUAUAUAUAUAUAUAUAUAUAUAUAUCAAUUUAAAUCAUGUUAUGUGACAAUUGUUUUCACUUUUUUAUUUAACAUAUAACAUUUGAAUAUUUAUCAAUUAUUUAUUGAUUAAUUAGUCAAUAAAAUAUCAAAAUAUUGUAACAUAUAUAUAUUUUAAAUUAUCAAACAUUAAUUAUUUUAUAUUGAAAUAAAAUUAAUGUGUUAGUUAUUAAUUAUAAUUUUCAAAAGUAAAAUAUAAAUAUUUUAUUUUUUAUAUCAAAAAAUAUACAAAACAUAUUAAAGAAGAUUUGAUAACUUUAUUUGAUGUUGAUUGCUAAUUACAAAUAAUUUUGAUGCAUAAAUAAAAAAACCCUAAUUAUCUUUUUACAAAACCUCCUUUAAAUUAUGCACCUUAAAAUAUGCACAAUAGUAUGCAUAUAUAUAUAUAUAUAUAUAUAUAUAAACUUCUCCAAUAACUGUAUAUAUUUUAUUUGUAGUUAUUUUUAGUAUAGUUUCAUUUAUACAUUAAUUUUCUAACCUUUUAUUUAUUAUCUAAUCAUUACAAAAACUAAAAAAUCUUUAGAAAAAUAUGUUUGUUUAAGAAUUUAAAUGUUGUCAAAAUUAAUAUAAAACCAUGGGAAAUGGUAAAUGAAAUAACACACAAUACUUAAGGUUUUUUUUAAUAAUUUGUUGAAAAAUAAAAUCACUAUCUCGUUAAGUUUUUGUCUCACACUGUAAUAAAAAAUCAUAUAAUAUUAACUCAAUAUUAUUGGUGCUAAGAAGCUUAAAGCAAGAUUGGCUCAACUGCAAGUCUCAAAUGUUUUCGAGUGGCGCAUCACUGACCUGUUGCAAAGGAACUUGUUGCCAUGUGGUUUUGUGAAAGGCCGUUGCAGAAUGGGAAGAUAAAGUGCCUCAACAAGCGAGGUGUGUGUUUGUCUCGUCGUGGAAGUGGUUUCUCUUCAGAGCCUAGAGAGAUCGUCAAGGAGGCCGAACCAACAGAAACUCCGUUGUUGAAACAGAAGAAGGAAGGGAUGUGCAUUUGGCUGCCAUUGUGGUGACACCGCAUCCUCAUCAUGUUGCACUGAUUCCACUCGCGAAAUCCUGGUUUUAGAAGCUGAGGCUGGCGAGAGUAUGCGCUGAGCACGCAACGAAGAUCUUGCCUCCACGACGACGAUGCCGCAGACCAAGCUCAUUGCACACCAGGGAUUCCGCCUAAAUUAGAUGGAACAGAGCACAUAUUUAGCUUCCAGUAGAUUGUGAACAGUUGAGUGGAUCCUAUUAUCGAGAGAAACUGGUUUCGCGCGUUUUUAUAGCCGCUUUUGAGUCGGCUGUUAUGUUUCGCUCAGGUUAGUGCAGAAUCUUCCGAAUGAGAAAUUUGUUUACGCUUCUGAACCACAGGAUGCUACUGAUACUGAUGUUGCAUUUUUUUCUCGGACUUGAAAUGUUAUUAAU